GUGCAGCAGUCGCGAAACCUCCGCAAUACACGAAAGUGUGACGGGGCCAUCCCGAGUGCCGUCCGCUGAGGACGGCUUUUCCCCAGUGUACACAGCUGGGGGAAUAAGGAGAGGGCAAGCCUGGUGUCAGCCGCCGCGGUAAUACCAGCUCUCCGAGUGGUGGGGACGCUUAUUGGGCCUAAAGCAUCCGUAGCCGGCUGGGCAAGUCCUCCGUUAAAUCCAACGAUUCAAUCGUUGGGCUGCGGGGGAUACUGUCCAGCUUGGGGGGCGGGAGAGGCCGACGGUAUUCCCGGGGUAGGGGUGAAAUCCUAUAAUCCCGGGAGGACCACCAGUGGCGAAGGCUGUCGGCUAGAACGCGCCCGACGGUGAGGGAUGAAAGCUGGGGGAGCGAACCGGAUUAGAUACCCCUGUAGU
rnacentral:rRNA from 1 species